AAAGGGCGCGUAGGCGGAAUGCUUUGUCGGGCGUGAAAUUCCAGGGCUUAACCUUGGGACUGCGUUCGAGACGGGUAUUCUAGAGUGGAGAAGAGGGUCGUGGAAUUCCCAGUGUAGAGGUGAAAUUCGUAGAUAUUGGGAAGAACACCGGUGGCGAAGGCGGCGACCUGGUCUUUUACUGACGCUGAGGCGCGAAAGCGUGGGGAGCAAACAGGAUUAGAUACCCCAGU
rnacentral:rRNA from 1 species